GAUGAACGCUGGCGGCGUGCCUAAUACAUGCAAGUCGAGCGAACAGACGAGGAUCUUGCUCCUCUGACGUUAGCGGCGGACGGGUGAGUAACACGUGGAUAACCUACCUAUAAGACUGGGAUAACUUCGGGAAACCGGAGCUAAUACCGGAUAAUAUAUUGAACCGCAUGGUUCAAUAGUGAAAUACGGUUUUUCUGUCACUUAUAGAUGGAUCCGCGCCGCAUUAGCUAGUUGGUAAGGUAACGGCUUACCAAGGCAACGAUGCGUAGCCGACCUGAGAGGGUGAUCGGCCACACUGGAACUGAGACACGGUCCAGACUCCUACGGGAGGCAGCAGUAGGGAAUCUUCCGCAAUGGGCGAAAGCCUGACGGAGCAACGCCGCGUGAGUGAUGAAGGUCUUCGGAUCGUAAAACUCUGUUAUUAGGGAAGAACAAAUGUGUAAGUAACUAUGCACGUCUUGACGGUACCUAAUCAGAAAGCCACGGCUAACUACGUG
rnacentral:rRNA from 1 species